CUCUUGUAUUAUAGGUAUGUAUAUUAUGUUGACACCCCUUGUCACAAGCUGAUGGUUUAGCGCAAUGGUUAAGGGGUUGCAAAACUUUCCUAAAAUUGUGUAUUUAAACCUGGGUAGCAACAUAUUUAUAUUUUUUGACACCCCUUAAUAUAUAUCCUGGCUCCACCACUGUUUUCAACAACUUUGAUUCACCUUUGAGCUUCUAUUUAUCAUACGUCUUACAAAGAAAAUGACAUAUUAAUUUUCACUUUUUCAUUCAUUGUUUUUAAUUUUGAUAGCUCCCCUGCAAUAAAAUAGUUGCAACUGUUCUAAAAGGUAUUGUCAUCAAAACAAAUUCCUAAAAGGAAAUUGAUAGGAAGAGACCAAUACUUUUAUUCUUUAAACAAUGUUCGCUCUUUCUAUUCUCAAAGAGGGGACGGAACAUUCGAUAGUGCUUAGAAUGGUAUCCUUAGCUCUGACUGAAGUUAGAACUUACUUUGAGCGUUCCGAGGCUUUAAGGAAGGGAAAAGCUGUAGCGGAGUGAUUCGCGUUGUUCCAGCUCUACGUUUGAGAUUGUGAUCCAAGGACUACUACUCGUCCUCAUAUCUAGCGUUGAGGUCGUUGCUGACAGAUUUAGGGUGAGCUUCUAUCUAUGUCAGGCUGCCCGAAGAUCUUCCUUUUACGAUGUCUAUUUCCUACUCUAGAAAUUGUGGUUUUUUUCGUUUAGACAGAUUUCAUUCCUUAGACAUAUUUUAGAUUAGAGUCUUUGUACCGUGACUUUCGGAUUUAGGGAUUUGUAAUAGUUAGGACUUCCGCAUUUAUUUCCUUAUUUUGAUGGCAUGACUUAUUUUGAUUUUCU